rnacentral:rRNA from 1 species
UGAGGAAUAUUGGUCAAUGGGCGCAAGCCUGAACCAGCCAUCCCGCGUGAAGGAAGAAGGCGCUAUGCGUUGUAAACUUCUUUUCCAGGGGGAGAAUUUUUCCGUCGUGACGGGAAUUGACGGUACUCUGGGAAUAAGCAUCGGCUAACUCCGUGCCAGCAGCCGCGGUUAUACGGAGGAUGCGAGCGUUAUCCGGAUUUAUUGGGUUUAAAGGGUGCGUAGGCGGAUUGAUAAGUCAGUGGUGAAAGGCUGCAGCUUAACUGUA